rnacentral:rRNA from 1 species
AGAGUUUGAUCCUGGCUCAAGAUGAACUCUUUCGAUAGGCCUAACACACGCAAGUCGAGGGGCAUCACAUGAGGUAGCAAUACCGAUGGUGGCGGCCGGCGCACGGGUGAGUAACACGUAUGCAACCUGCCUUCAACAAGGGGAUAACUCGUUGAAAGACGGACUAAUACCCUAUAACACAGGGCUCCCGCAUGGGAAUAUUUGUUAAAGAUUUAUCGGUUGAAGAUGGGCAUGCGUUCCAUUAGUUAGGUGGGGGGGUAACGGCCCACCAAGGCAACGAUGGAUAGGGGAACUGAGAGGUUUAUCCCCCACACUGGUACUGAGACACGGACCACACUCCUACGGGAGGCAGCAGUGAGGAAUAUUGGUCAAUGGACGCAAGUCUGAACCAGCCACGUCGCGUGAAGGAAGACGGCCCUACGGGUUGUAAACUUCUUUUGUAAGGGAAUAAAGUGAGUCACGUGUGGCUUUUUGCAUGUACCUUACGAAUAAGGAUCGGCUAACUCCGUGCCAGCAGCCGCGGUAAUACGGAGGAUCCGAGCGUUAUCCGGAUUUAUUGGGUUUAAAGGGUGCUCAGGCGGGCCAUUAAGUCGGCGGUGAAAUUUUGCGGCUCAACCGUAAAGUGCCUUCGAUACUGGUGGUCUUGAGUGUGGAUGAGGUAGGCGGAAUUUGUGGUGUAGCGGUGAAAUGCAUAGAUAUCACGAGGAACUCCGAUUGCUAAGGCAGCUUACUAAGCCAUAACUGACGCUCAAGCACGAAGGCGUGGGGAUCAAACGGGAUUAGAUACCCUGGUAGUCCACGCAGUAAACGAUGAUUACUGGCUGUUUGCGAUAUAUUGUAAGCGGCUGAGCGAAAGCGUAAAGUAAUCCACCUGGGGAGUACGUUCGCAAGAAUGAAACUCAAAGGAAUUGACGGGGGCCCGCACAAGCGGAGGAACAUGUGGUUUAAUUCGAUGAUACGCGAGGAACCUUACCCGGGCUUGAAAUGCAGAUGACAGGCGG